rnacentral:rRNA from 1 species
AGCUCCAAUAGCGUAUAUUUAAGUUGCUGCAGUUAAAAAGCUCGUAGUUGGAUUUCGGGUGGGGCCUGCCGGUCCGCCGUUUCGGUGUGCACUGGCCGGGCCCACCUUGUUGCCGGGGACGGGCUCCUGGGCUUCACUGUCCGGGACCCGGAGUCGGCGAGGUUACUUUGAGUAAAUUAGAGUGUUCAAAGCAGGCCUACGCUCUGAAUACAUUAGCAUGGAAUAACACGAUAGGACUCUGGCCUAUCCUGUUGGUCUGUAGGACCGGAGUAAUGAUUAAGAGGGACAGUCGGGGGCAUUCGUAUUUCAUUGUCAGAGGUGAAAUUCUUGGAUUUAUGAAAGACGAACUACUGCGAAAGCAUUUGCCAAGGAUGUUUUCAUUAAUCAAGAACGAAAGUAG